UGCAAGUCGAGCGAACGGACGAGAAGCUUGCUUCUCUGAUGUUAGCGGCGGACGGGUGAGUAACACGUGGAUAACCUACCUAUAAGACUGGGAUAACUUCGGGAAACCGGAGCUAAUACCGGAUAAUAUUUUGAACCGCAUGGUUCAAAAGUGAAAGACGGUCUUGCUGUCACUUAUAGAUGGAUCCGCGCUGCAUUAGCUAGUUGGUAAGGUAACGGCUUACCAAGGCAACGAUGCAUAGCCGACCUGAGAGGGUGAUCGGCCACACUGGAACUGAGACACGGUCCAGACUCCUACGGGAGGCAGCAGUAGGGAAUCUUCCGCAAUGGGCGAAAGCCUGACGGAGCAACGCCGCGUGAGUGAUGAAGGUCUUCGGAUCGUAAAACUCUGUUAUUAGGGAAGAACAUAUGUGUAAGUAACUGUGCACAUCUUGACGGUACCUAAUCAGAAAGCCACGGCUAACUACGUGCCAGCAGCCGCGGUAAUACGUAGGUGGCAAGCGUUAUCCGGAAUUAUUGGGCGUAAAGCGCGCGUAGGCGGUUUUUUAAGUCUGAUGUGAAAGCCCACGGCUCAACCGUGGAGGGUCAUUGGAAACUGGAAAACUUGAGUGCAGAAGAGGAAAGUGGAAUUCCAUGUGUAGCGGUGAAAUGCGCAGAGAUAUGGAGGAACACCAGUGGCGAAGGCGACUUUCUGGUCUGUAACUGACGCUGAUGUGCGAAAGCGUGGGGAUCAAACAGGAUUAGAUACCCUGGUAGUCCACGCCGUAAACGAUGAGUGCUAAGUGUUAGGGGGUUUCCGCCCCUUAGUGCUGCAGCUAACGCAUUAAGCACUCCGCCUGGGGAGUACGACCGCAAGGUUGAAACUCAAAGGAAUUGACGGGGACCCGCACAAGCGGUGGAGCAUGUGGUUUAAUUCGAAGCAACGCGAAGAACCUUACCAAAUCUUGACAUCCUUUGACAACUCUAGAGAUAGAGCUUUCCCCUUCGGGGGACAAAGUGACAGGUGGUGCAUGGUUGUCGUCAGCUCGUGUCGUGAGAUGUUGGGUUAAGUCCCGCAACGAGCGCAACCCUUAAGCUUAGUUGCCAUCAUUAAGUUGGGCACUCUAAGUUGACUGCCGGUGACAAACCGGAGGAAGGUGGGGAUGACGUCAAAUCAUCAUGCCCCUUAUGAUUUGGGCUACACACGUGCUACAAUGGACAAUACAAAGGGCAGCGAAACCGCGAGGUCAAGCAAAUCCCAUAAAGUUGUUCUCAGUUCGGAUUGUAGUCUGCAACUCGACUACAUGAAGCUGGAAUCGCUAGUAAUCGUAGAUCAGCAUGCUACGGUGAAUACGUUCCCGGGUCUUGUACACACCGCCCGUCACACCACGAGAGUUUGU
rnacentral:rRNA from 1 species